AAACUUUCAACAACGGAUCUCUUGGCUCUGGCAUCGAUGAAGAACGCAGCGAAAUGCGAUAAGUAAUGUGAAAUUGCAGAAUCCAGUGAAUCAUCGAAUCUUUGAACGCACAUUGCGCCCGCCAGCAUUCUGGCGGGCAUGCCUGUUCGAGCGUCAUUU
rnacentral:rRNA from 1 species